UGAAAGUUAAUAGAGCAGUGAGGGGUUCUGGACGAGACUUGAAGAAGCAGUCAUCGAAUCCGACGACGACGGCGGCGUCGGUUUCGACGUCAUUGGGUUUGAGCUCCUCCGGGGAUGAUUUCAUAGCCAAAGGAUCUGGUUGCACCAUGUAUGCCUCCUGAAAUUUAAAAUUCCUUAAAAUUAAUCAGUUAUAACUGUGUAUUGUGGUUGUCUGUGAUCAUAGAUAGUACCAACUAACCUUGCAAAGACCCAUGAAAUCAUGAUCGGAUUCCCGAUCACCCAACCCUAAAUCCGGAAGCGCCGCCUCACCGAACUCCCUCAAAACACUAUCCUUCUUCUUACUCCCGACAAUAAUUCCGGGAUGCUCCACCCAUCCCGUCGUGAUUCCAUCCUUAACCUCCAACUCCGUCCCGAUAACCAGAUCCCCCCUCAACCGCUUCCUAACAAAGCUCUCCACCAAAACAGUCGGAUUCGCUGUCACCACCACCCGCCUCCUCCCGCACUGUCUGAACGCCCUCCAACUCUCCUCCCUCACGUCCUCGGCGUAGUACCGCGGGAGGAUAUCCUUGCAGACACGAGAGAUCCUGGAAAAUGGGAUUCCAGCGGUGGAGAUGAAGAUCAGGAGCUUGAUCGCAGCUGAUUCCGAGACUAAUUUGUAUAGAAAGAGAACGAAUGGGGAUGAGAGGAGGAGGAGGAUGCCGCGAGCGACGCUCCCUGCUUCCACGGAUAGAACCAUGAAGUAAGGGAAGGAGCUGCGGGAAACCAGUAGGGUUCCAUCAAGAUCCGCCGCCACUGUGUGGGCUUGGCGAUCGGUUGUUGCGUCGCAGUUGGAGAUCGGUGGAAAGGUGCAGGACCGUUGGAGUGGCAUUUUGGGAAUUUUACAACAAACAAUACACAUAAGAUAACUAUGGUCUAUGUAUAUAUAACGAAAUUACCAAAAGGCAUGGGGGAUGAGAAAUUAAGAAGUUAGGUAUAGUAGACGGGUUGUUGAACCAUUAAAUAUAUUUUAAAUAACUUAAACAACCUGUCAUGACCCAUCCCCGUUUCUUACCCUUACCCAUGGGCCGUUCAUUGCAAUUGAUAUGCUAAGUGCCUAAGUAUAUUUGAGGCGAAAUUCAAAUGAGGCAAUUUAAGAUAUUUGAAUCUCAGUCAUUAGUUAAGUUAUAUUUUGAAUAAAAAAAUCAAUAUCGAGAUAAACUGAAGGUAUGAGUAGAUUAGUGUCCUUUUGGAAUCUAACAUUUAUGUUACCAUGAAAUUAUUUUCCUUUAUUUGCAAAAAAAAAAGAAUCUUUUCCUUUGUGUCAAAUAGUAUGUAUCUUUAUUCUCUUUGAUUUGUUAAGGCAUAGCAAAAACAUCCAAAUAUCUUCAUAGAUGGGUAGUCAGGGAUUGAUUUGUUUAAUAUUUCAAAUGAGAACUUUAGGUUUGUCUAUUGUUGGAGAUGGUAACCUGUCUAUUAUAAAGGAUGCAUGAAGGAUGUCCUCAUCUCAAAAAUGUUCAGGCACAUUGAUUGGAAUCUAACUGACUUUGGCAUCUUGUCUGAUAGAAGGUCCCAUUCUUCGAAAGAAAUGUUUAGAGUGAUGAACAUGUGAAUUACGUUCCAUUGUUAGACCUGAAGGUCUUUAUGGAUUUUGUAAAAUUUUAUGAUGAUUUUAGAAACCUCUUAUUUAUGUGUCAUCAGAUAAAUCUUAGGUAGUUAUGGAGUGAUCCUCUAGAAUUGUUAAGGAAUAAUAUUUGUUGUGAUGUGUGGGGGUAUAAUAUCCCCCCCCCAUCUAGAUGCACAAGUUCAAAUAAAUUAUUAGACCUGGAUCCCUUAUUAGAGAAGGGUAAUUUAGCAUGUUUAUAUAAGUGCCAAAUAGAACAAUGUAUAUGAAUAGGUUUUGAAGAAAUGUUUAAACUGUUUAGAAUAAAAUAGAUACUUUAUGUUUAAACUGUCCUAGUCUGCAGUGUCAUGUGUUGAAGUUUGGAUUGCCUUAGGCUGCAGUUGCAAAAUGAUGGGUGAAUGAUAUGAGGUAGUAGAGCCAUUGUUGAAGGUCACCGUACCAAUCUGAUUCAUUGAUACUUUAUAAAAUACUGUACAUUCAGAAAUUGAAAAAUUAAUUAGACAGGUAUCAACAAGUUUACCAAUGGAUGGAUAUAAGGUUGAUUGUGAAGUCUGGAAUGUAUAAUACAUUUUUUAGUGUUAGUGUGGGAGAGAGCUUAAUUGUUCCCCUCUGUAGGAUUUGGUGAGAAUUCUCAUUAGGGGUUUGGACCCACUUAUUCUGACAGUCACAUAAAUCAGUGAAAAGUGCAAUAUUGCUACUACGCAUGUGCUCAGAGGCACCACUAUCUAGAAUCCACUGAUUUAUUUGGGUAAAAUAACAGUAAAAGGGUGAGUUACCUGAAUUUUGGAGGGAGGCAACACACUUGACUGGAUUGUAGGGGUGACCCCCCUCUAGUGUGGAGGUGCUUUCUUUUUUUGAUGUGUCGACUGUCUCAUUUGAUAUGUGCCAUGUGUUGUUGGCCUAACUCUCCCAUUGUUUGGUCUUUUGGUUUCAUGAGGAAACCCAUGUAGUUUGUAGCAUCUUUGUAUGCUGUGUACGCCCAUAUUGUAGAAUAUAAAUUCUUGAUGCAUAUAGUAUUUAUAACUAAUAAUAUCUUGAUAAUUCAACUGAUCACAUCAAUUUAAAAAUCCUAAAUAGAGACUCACCCCACAUGCUACAUCAUAUAGAUGAAACCCUAAUUGAUAUGCAUAGGUUAUUGAACUAUUAUGAUAUAUGUACUUUGAUAUGCAUAGGUAUUGAACUCCUAUGAUAGAUCUACUUUGAUAUGCAUGGACAUUUGAACUACUAUGGUGGAUGCACUUUGAAGAGAAAAAAUCGAUUUUUCCUAAAUGUUUGGAUCAAGAAUGGAUAAACAAGACGAAGUGCACAUUUCUCUAAUGGAGCUACUCAAACUAUGUGCAAACACCCAUCUCAAAUAAAGGAUCCAAUGACCACCAAGGCUAUCUAUACACUCCUAUGGGAACAUAUUUUGCCAAAAUAUGUUACCUUCAAAGGCAACAUAUUACAUCCACUUUGCCAAAAUCGCCUCAAACAUUAAAGAGAGCUAGCUCUAGUUCUCAAAAUUUUCAAGUGCUUAUCAGUUCAAGUGUUCUCCUUAACAAGUGCUCAUCUACUUACAAUCAGGUGCUCUUAUUCUAUUUUUAAUCUUCUUUGUGCGAUCAACAAAAACCUUGUGCAAAACUGAGUAUGAUAGAAUUAGGUCUCUGAAAACUGUAUGAGAAAUCUGGUUAGCCCUAGAAUGUUUACAUAACAUGUUUGGGAAAAUAGAUUGAAAAGUUUAUGCGAGUAAGAUUAUGUAAUAAUGCAAUAUAAAACUUAUCAUAUAUGAGAUAUGUUUAUAAUUAUAUUCAAGGUUUGUUACUGAUAUUAGGCCAGGCUAGCCAGAGGCC
rnacentral:lncRNA from 1 species